UAAGGAAUAUUGGACAAUGGAGGCAACUCUGAUCCAGCCAUGCCGCGUGAAGGAAUAAGGCCCUAUGGGUUGUAAACUUCUUUUAGACGGGACAAAACCCCUUUACGUGUAAAGGGUUGAUGGUACUGUCAGAAUAAGCAUCGGCUAACUUCGUGCCAGCAGCCGCGGUAAUACGAAGGAUGCAAGCGUUAUCCGGAAUUAUUGGGUUUAAAGGGUGCGUAGGCGGACUAAUAAGUCAGUGGUGAAAGCCUGCAGCUUAACUGCAGAAUUGCCAUUGAUACUGUUAGUCUUGAGUACAGUUGAGGUAGGCGGAAUGUGUCAUGUAGCGGUGAAAUGCUUAGAUAUGACACAGAACACCGAUUGCGAAGGCAGCUUGCUCAGCUGUAACUGACGCUGCGGCACGAAAGCGUGGGG
rnacentral:rRNA from 1 species